UUUUUACACGUUUAGAGUUUUACACUCUGACGAUAUGGGAGGAGAAGACCCCAUAGAGUUUUAUAAAUAAUUUGAUUGAGGUGAUUUAAAUAUAAAAAGAUUAAAAUAAAAUUAAUUAUUUUAUUGGGGUGAUAGAAAAAUAAAUAUUACUUUUUUUAAAAAUUAAAACAUUUAUAAGUGAUUAAAUGAUCCAAUAUUAUUGAUUAUA
rnacentral:rRNA from 1 species